UCACUUAUGUGACGUACUGAAGGAUUCACGCUGUAAACUGGAGAGAUUGAGUCUUCGUGUCUGUGGCAUUACAGAUGUUUCUUCUUUAACUCAGUCUUUGACAAACACAAAAGCUCUGCAGUUUCUAAAAGAGAUUGAUCUGAGACACAAUGUGAUUGGAGACUCAAAGCAGAAGCUCAUUGAUGUGCUACGAGACUCAAACUGUAAACUGAUAAGCUGAUGAAUGCUGUGUAUCAUAAAGUGAAGUGGUCUUGAGAGGAGCAGUAAACAUCAGCUGAAGAUCCACAGAAGAGCUUCACUACUGUGUCUAUGAGGAGAAAUAAAUGUGUGAUAAAUGUGUAAAUGUGAUCCAUACAGGUGAAGAGACUCAGACUUUACAAUCAAAUAAUGCAGCAUGUGUGUUAGAAACAUGAUAUUGAAUGAUUAAUGUUGCUUUAGUAUUCAAGC